AUGAACGCUGGCGGCGUGCCUAAUACCUGCCAGUCGCGCGAACAGACGAGGAGCUUGCUCCUUUGACGUUAGCGGCGGACGGGUGAGUAACACGUAGGUAACCUACCUAUAAGACUGGGAUAACUUCGGGAAACCGGAGCUAAUACCGGAUAAUAUUUCGAACCGCAUGGUUCGAUAGUGAAAGAUGGCUUUGCUAUCACUUAUAGAUGGACCUGCGCCGUAUUAGCUAGUUGGUAAGGUAACGGCUUACCAAGGCAACGAUACGUAGCCGACCUGAGAGGGUGAUCGGCCACACUGGAACUGAGACACGGUCCAGACUCCUACGGGAGGCAGCAGUAGGGAAUCUUCCGCAAUGGGCGAAAGCCUGACGGAGCAACGCCGCGUGAGUGAUGAAGGUCUUCGGAUCGUAAAACUCUGUUAUUAGGGAAGAACAAACGUGUAAGUAACUGUGCACGUCUUGACGGUACCUAAUCAGAAAGCCACGGCUAACUACGUG
rnacentral:rRNA from 1 species